CCGGGCAGGGAGGGUUGCGGUGCGCGCGGCGGCAUGAAACGUAGAUGGGACCGUGGUGGCGGCUGGCUGGUAGCGGCUCUUUGUGAGGCGCGAUUAAAAGCUUUUGAUGCUUCAAGUCAAGUUCCACUGGUGUUACCUGUAAAAUUCGUAAGAAGAAUGCAUUCCAGGUGUACAGACUACUGAUUAGUUUAUGCUUCCAGGACAAGAUGAACGUAGUGGAAUCUUCGUAUUCAAACUCUUUCAUAGGUCACUUUCCCUGUUAAAUAUCAUAGUCUUUCAGUGAACUGCAACACCAACACCAAAUAAUGAUUUAACACCAGACUGAUGUAGCAAACACAGAUGCAUUUAAUUCAGUGGCAGAAGUGGCUGAAGAGAACCAGCUCUCUCAAGCAUGUUCUUGUGCAUCAUCUGCUCCAUCUCUAACAGUCCUGGUGGCCUCACCUGGACUCUGGUACAUCUGAACCAGAGAUGGUCAGCCUGUCUCAUGCAGUUGAGCUUAAACUGGACACAGGACUAGCAGAUGGAGUCUUACCUGCGCUGAGUACAGAGGAAGGUUCCCUUUUUUCACUUUUCUGGCCGCACUCUUAUUGACGCAGACCAGAAUGCAGUCACUCAUCUUUAUCACAGGGAACACAACUGGCACCUUCUCAACUUCUUGUUUACCAGGACCCCGGCACCUUUUCCACCAAAUUGUGUUCUAAGCACUUGCCCACAGUGUGUCCUGCUGAACUGGGGUUACUCCCUUCCAGAGACAGGACUGUCUUGGACCAGUUGCAUUUAUCUUUUUGAGUUCCCUGAGAUUUUAUCUGCCUUCAUUUAGGACCUCAGUUCACUAGCACUGUACAAGUCAACAACAUAAAGCCAGUCCCAGUACUGAAGAGACCACGGUGACCAUGGAAGCAAUUCUGGUGGUGUGAAUGCUUACCUGUUCUGGGCUAGACACAGCCUCAAGCAAAUAUCACACAAUGACUGUUGAGUAGUCAUCAGAUGUCAUAAAAUUCCAUUAGCUUCUAUGCUAUUUUCAAUCUUUAAUAGCGGCUUAACACUUCUGCCUGACUUAAGGUUUUGUGAAGCUGAUGAUUUAUAAAUGUAGGAGUAUUUAAUUUUCACAACUUUUUUUUUUUUUAUGUCUGGAUUUCAAAGUACUCUAUAAGCAACUAUAAAGCAAGUCUUCUUAAAAAUAAGUCCUCUAGAAUUUUUGCUAACUAGGUAAUUACUGCAGCGAGUGAUUUAUAAUUUAAAAUCAGACUUAUUUUGAAAUAAGUAUUUAAAUAAUCAUCCUUCAAAAGAGAUUUUUUUUGUGCUGUCUUAUAAUCAGCCAUGUUUUCACUCAUGAACACAGAAGCAUGGUGAUAGAGUGUGCAUACUUCUAAUUGCCUUUAAAAUCAGUAUUGAUUACUUUGACUGGGGAUUUAGAAAAAUAUCAGUUAAUUUCUGGUAACUGAAGAAAGAAUGAACAAAACCCUCAAAGUUGGCAAGACACUGUUAUUACUCCCAUUUAAUCUAAUUAAAGGGUAAAACAAAGGCAUGUGGCUAUUUAAUUAUUUUAUCAUUCAAUUGCUCCCCAGUGCAUAAUCAGAGAACCAGGAGGAAGUGAUUAGUUGUCUUGGGAAAGGAAGUGACACAGUCAGGAUACAUGGAUGUUUUAAAGGAAGGACAAGAUAGUGGGAAGAUUGUUACUGUCUUCCCACACAGAAGGCUGAAUGUGUUUUUUUCCUGGGACUGAAGAACAUUAUACUAUAAAUUUGCUGGGAAUUUUUCAGAAAAAUAUAUGGCAGGCUGGUGCGGGGAUGUGUGAAACAUACCAUGUGUUCUUUGAUUGGAACUUUCGCCCUGCUCUUGUCCUCACAGAGGUCUCGCAAGCAGCCUGCAGUUCAGCUGGGUCAGUGGUAAAGCGGCAUGGUAGGCUUGCAGGUACCCAGAGGCACCCCUGGGGUCCUUGCUACGGCCUUGCUCACCAGAGCCAACGUCUAGGAACGCAUGCUUUUACUCCAUUUCAAGGGCAGGAUACCUGGUUCUGCCAGGCUGUUUAAGAAGAGUUUUUGAAAUGGGGAGGAUAGUAAAGAAAGAGCCUUUAUCUUGUUUAGACCCAAGUUUACUUCUCUUCCACCCUGACAACCGCCCUCAUUUGUACAGUUGGUUAUUAUUUACAACAGAAAGACUGAAUCAUUCCCUGAGCAGUUCACCUCCUUGCAAAUUGUUCUGGUAUAAAUUAGCUUGUGUUUUAGAGCAGAACAGGUGCUGAUAAAAAGCUAUGUAAUAUCAAAACUAAC